CCGCGGCGUCUAUACUGCAGUCGAGCGGACAGAGGGAGCUUGCUCCCGGAUGUUAGCGGCGGACGGGUGAGUAACACGUGGGUAACCUGCCUGUAAGACUGGGAUAACUCCGGGAAACCGGAGCUAAUACCGGAUAGUUCCUUGAACCGCAUGGUUCAAGGAUGAAAGACGGUUUCGGCUGUCACUUACAGAUGGACCCGCGGCGCAUUAGCUAGUUGGUGGGGUAAUGGCUCACCAAGGCGACGAUGCGUAGCCGACCUGAGAGGGUGAUCGGCCACACUGGGACUGAGACACGGCCCAGACUCCUACGGGAGGCAGCAGUAGGGAAUCUUCCGCAAUGGACGAAAGUCUGACGGAGCAACGCCGCGUGAGUGAUGAAGGUUUUCGGAUCGUAAAGCUCUGUUGUUAGGGAAGAACAAGUGCGAGAGUAACUGCUCGCACCUUGACGGUACCUAACCAGAAAGCCACGGCUAACUACGUGCCAGCAGCCGCGGUAAUACGUAGGUGGCAAGCGUUGUCCGGAAUUAUUGGGCGUAAAGGGCUCGCAGGCGGUUUCUUAAGUCUGAUGUGAAAGCCCCCGGCUCAACCGGGGAGGGUCAUUGGAAACUGGGAAACUUGAGUGCAGAAGAGGAGAGUGGAAAUUCCACGUGUAGCGGUGAAAUGCGUAGAGAUGUGGAGGGAACACCAGUGGCGAAAGGCGACUCUCUGGUCUGUAACUGACGCUGAGGAGCGAAAGCGUGGGGGAGCGAACAGGAUUUAGAUACCCUGUAGUCCACGCCCGUAAACGAUGAGUGCUAAGUGUUUAGGGGGGUUUCCGGCCCCUUAAGUGCUGCAGCUACGCAUAGCACUCCGUCUGGGAUUACGUCGCAGAACUGAAAACCUCCAUAGGGCAAACU
rnacentral:rRNA from 1 species